UCGAGAAUUUUUCACAAUGGGCGAAAGCCUGAUGGAGCGACGCCGCGUGGGGGAUGAAUGGCUUCGGCCCGUAAACCCCUGUCAUUUGCGACUAAACUCUGAAAUUGAAUAGAUUUCAGACUGAAAGUAGCGAAAGAGGAAGGGACGGCUAACUCUGUGCCAGCAGCCGCGGUAAUACAGAGGUCCCAAGCGUUGUUCGGAUUUACUGGGCGUAAAGGGUGCGUAGGUGGUAGGGUAAGUUCAAUGUGAA
rnacentral:rRNA from 1 species